rnacentral:rRNA from 1 species
UACGGAGGAUCCAAGCGUUAUCCGGAUUUAUUGGGUUUAAAGGGUGCGUAGGUGGCUUUUUAAGUCAGGGGUGAAAGACGGUAGCUUAACUAUCGCAGUGCCUUUGAUACUGAAGAGCUUGAAUACACUAGAGGUAGGCGGAAUGUGACAAGUAGCGGUGAAAUGCAUAGAUAUGACCCAGAACACCGAUUGCGAAGGCAGGCUACUACGACGUGAUUGACACUGAGGCACGAGAGCAUGGGUAGCGAACAGG